rnacentral:rRNA from 1 species
UACGAAGGGGGCGAGCGUUGUUCGGAGUUACUGGGCGUAAAGGGCGCGUAGGCGGCGAUCUAAGUUAGGUGUGAAAGCCCCGGGCUUAACCUGGGAAUUGCGCUUAAGACUGGACUGCUUGAGUGCGGGAGAGGUGAGUGGAAUUCCCAGUGUAGAGGUGAAAUUCGUAGAUAUUGGGAAGAACACCUGCGGCGAAGGCGGGUUGCUGGGCCGACGCUGACGCUGAUGCGCGAAAGCGUGGGGAGCGAACCGG